rnacentral:rRNA from 1 species
CAAUAGCGCAUAUUAAAGUUGUUGCAGUUAAAAAGCUCGUAGUUGGAUUUCUGGUGGGAGCGAUCGGUCUGGCGCUUAGCGCGAGUACUUGCAUCGUCUCCGGCCAUCCUUGGGGAGAGUCUGUCUGGCAUUAAGUUGUCGGGCAGAGGAUCCUCAUCGUUUACUGUGAAAAAAUUAGAGUGUUCAAAGCAGGCUUAUGCCGUUGAAUAUAUUAGCAUGGAAUAAUAAGAUAGGACUUUGGUACUAUUUUGUUGGUUUGCGCACCAAAGUAAUGAUUAAUAGGGACAGUUGGGGGUAUUCGUAUUCCGUUGUCAGAGGUGAAAUUCUUGGAUUUACGGAAGACGAACUACUGCGAAAGCAUUUACCAAGGAUGUUUUCAUUAA